GGUGGCUCAGUGGUAGAGCGCUUGCCUCACAUGUAUGAGACCCUGGGUUCAAUUCCUCAGUACCA
rnacentral:tRNA from 1 species